UACGUAGGGUGCGAGCGUUGUCCGGAAUUAUUGGGCGUAAAGGGCUCGUAGGCGGUUUGUCGCGUCGGGAGUGAAAUCCACUGGCUUAACUGGUGGCUUGCUUUCGAUACGGGCAGACUGGAGGUAUGCAGGGGAGAACGGAAUUCCUGGUGUAGCGGUGAAAUGCGCAGAUAUCAGGAGGAACACCGGUAGCGAAGGCGGGUCUCUGGGCCGAUACUGACGCUGAGGAGCGAAAGCGUGGGGAGCGAACAGG
rnacentral:rRNA from 1 species